rfam:Dichanthelium oligosanthes cultivar Kellogg 1175 unplaced genomic scaffold Do_version_2_scaffold10459, whole genome shotgun sequence.
CUAUUACUCCCUCCGUUUCAAAUUAUAGGUCGUUUUGGGUUUUCUAGAUACAUAUGUUUUUGUAUGUAUCUAGACAUAAUAUAUAUCUAGAUACAUACAAAAACAUAUGUAUCUAGAAAACCCAAAACGACCUAUAAUUUGAAACGGAGGGAGUAUUAA